GAUGUAGCUCAGUGGUAGAGCAUGUGCUUAGCAUGCACAAGGCCCUGGGUUCAAUUCCCAAUGCA
rnacentral:tRNA from 1 species